AUUUAUGUAUUAUAAAAAAUAAAUUUAACUUCCAAUUAAAAAUUCUGACGAACAGCAUAAAUA
rnacentral:tRNA from 1 species